GUGAGCCAGGUGGCAGCUCUUCCAUCAGUCAGUCGGGAACCAGAAGAGGAAUCGGAUGAUUCGGAUCUCUCCGAUCGAGGACCGGCCGCGUUAAACGAGACCAUCAAAUAUUGUAAUCUGAUUUUUCAACAACCAAAUAGUUUCAAAAAGAACGAGACAACAUUCGACUCAAA
ensembl:snoRNA C09H10.19 ncRNA